rnacentral:rRNA from 1 species
AAACUUAAAGGGAUUGACGGAAGGGCACCACCAGGGGUGGAGCCUGCGGCUUAAUUUGACUCAACACGGGGAAACUCACCAGGUCCAGACACGAUGAGGAUUGACAGAUUGAGAGCUCUUUCUUGAUUUCGUGGGUGGUGGUGCAUGGCCGUUCUUAGUUGGUGGAGUGAUUUGUCUGCUUAAUUGCGAUAACGAACGAGACCUUAACCUGCUAAAUAGCCCGCAUUGCUUUGGCAGUGCGCCGGCUUCUUAGAGGGACUAUCGGCUCAAGCCGAUGGAAGUUUGAGGCAAUAACAGGUCUGUGAUGCUGAC